rnacentral:lncRNA from 1 species
UAAAAAAAAAAAAAAAAUUAAGAUUUUUUUUUUUUUUUUUUUUUAAGAUAGAGAGAAAGGUAGUAUGUUUGGUGAAAACUAAGAUUGUUUUCAGUAGAUGCUUGGUACAAUUUAGCCAAAUUAUUAGGAUCUUAUUGGUAAGGCACUUGGUGGGAUUUGAGAGAUUUCUUUGGUUCGAAUCCUAAUUUGAUCUUGGAUUACCGAGGUAUCAUCCAUAACUAUUUAGCCACUUGGGCUAGAGCUUGGUAGUAAUUUCAAAAUAGGAGCGUAAUUGUGUAGAUAUCAAGUUUUCUGCACUUAAAAAAGAAAGUUGCACACCAACCGUCCCUAGAGCAAGUUGUAAAGAACUUGGUAUCCGAGGUUUCAAGUUCGAACCAUAAUUGAUUCACAUUUCCAGCUAAGUUUAUUUUUAAAUGAAAAAAACGAAGCAGAUAGCGUACUACAGAGCUCUCUCAAAAAAAGAAAAAGAAAAAAGAAAGUUGCACAAUUUCGGCGAGUAAAUGAGCAAUGAAUGUCAAAUUUUCAAUAUGGGCAAAAAUUUGCAGUGAGAUGUGGAUGGCGAAUUAGAAAUUACUGUAUCAAUCUACUUAUUUGUAAACCUUGUAACAUGAGAAUAUCUGUUCAAGAUUUUUUUUUUUUGGGUUUAUUACAGAGUUGUUUGGAUUGUUUUGUAGAAAUACUAAAUACAACAAAACAAUCCUAAUCAUCUUAACUUUUUCUCUGUUUUUUUUGCAAUUUUGCAGUAAAAUGAGAGCAAAAACAUCUUAACAACUCUCUCCCCCUAACUCCCUCUAAAAAUGGAAUGUUUUUUUUUUGGUAAAAUGAAGGAUAAUCCAGAGCAAUUCAAACACCCUUAAUUGUGCACAAACUCAAUUCAAAAAUAAUAGGUGCCACAACUAUUUUUGGUUUUCAAUUUUUUUUAUUUUGAACUUGGUUGAAGAUAAUAGAUAAAAAUGCCACUCAUCGAAGCAAAUUUACCCUCCAAUUACAGUAAAAUUUAAAUUCUUCAAUGAUGACAUGUGAGACAUAAUGCUCUGUGAUAAAAUAUACAGAUAAUAUUUUUUAAUUUUAUAGUUGAUAGUGAAAGCCAAGAAGACAAAGUGACAAACACAACAUGUUAAGUGAGCCAUCAUCAUCAUCAUCAUCAUCAUCAUCAUUCUAUGCCAAAUUCCCCGCCAUUGAAGAUCUUUGUUUCAUCUUCCCUAAUUGACACAAAAACAAAUCAUCAACUAGUCAUAUAACACUCUUAUUCCUCCUCCCCUUUCCCCAAUAAAGAAGAGCAUAAGCAUAAAGCAAACAAAAGAGGCUCCUCUCUCUCUCUCUCUCUGUCUCUCUCUUCUCUCUCUACCUGGCAUCUUCCACUGUGUCAUGUGAGAUUGUGAAAAGCCAUUUUGCAUUACAAUCUCUCUCUCUCUCUCUCUCUCUCUCUCUCCCCUUGUGUUGUGGGGAGCCAUUUCCCAACUACUCUCUCUCACUCUCUUUGGCAUCUUCCACUUUGUGUUGUGAGGAGCCAAUUCCCAUUAGAAACUCUCUCUCUCUCUCUCUCUCUCUCUCUCUCAUUUGUAUUCUACUCAAAUCACUAUAUUCAUAUAUUCACCAUCCCCUUUCAUUCUCCUCUCUUAUUGGUAUAUCAUCUCCUUCUUUGGAAAUUUCCUCUCUUUUUCUCACUACAUUCCUCAAAGUUGGGUUUUUUUUUUUUUUUUUUUUUUAACUCUGAAAGGGUCCUCUUCCUCACCACAAGUUCAAUCAAAAUCCAAUUUUUAAUCUUGGGGUUUCUGUUUCUGCUUGUUCUUGAUGCUUCUCCCUCUUCAAUUUCUCAAAAUUUUCCACAAAUUUAGUUUACUUUUUACUCUUUGAUCUUGGUUUCUUCCACUUCCUCUGUGGAAUUGGGGCUUCCAUGGGACUCUGCCAUGGGAAACCGACUCAAAGCCCUAAGUUGGAGGGGAAGGAGGAGGAGGAUGAAGGAGACGAGUACGAGGAAGAAGAAGAAGAAGAGGAGGAGCGAAACCCUAAAAUCCCCGACCCCGACGCGCCGCCCCGCUCGAAGCCCUCGAUCCCCUUCUACAUCCCGAGCCCCCUCCCGGGCUCCUACAAGAGCUCCCCGGCGAAUCCGAGCGCCACUUCAACCCCUUUGCGAUUCUUAAAGCGCCCGUUCCCCCCGCCCUCCCCCGCGAAGCACAUUAGGGCGCUCCUCGCGCGGCGGCGCGGCGCCGUGAAGCCCAACGCCGCGGCGCCGGCGCCGGCGCCGGCGUCGGCUAUUCCCGAGGGGGAAGAAGCGGGGCUAGGGUUGGACAAGUGCUUCGGCUUCUCGAGGCAGCUCUUCGCCAUGUACGAGCUCGGGGAGGAGGUGGGGCGGGGCCAUUUCGGGUAUACCUGCGCCGCGAAGCCGAAGAAGAAGGGGGAGUUGCAGGUGGAGGAGGUGGCCAUUAAGGUUAUCCCAAAAGCAAAGGUAGUUCCUUUUUUCUCUUUUUCUUCUCCUUUUUUUUUUCGUAUUACAUACAGUGAGAAAAUCUGAUGAGAAAAGUACUUUAUUUGAUUUCGUACGCAAUGUUACGUUCCCACGUAGCAGUUACUUUGGUGAGAAACACACUAGAAAUAAAGGAAAAGAUAUUGAAUAAUAUCUGAAUGUUUGUAAGGUAUUAGAAGUUUAGUGAGAUGUAUAGAUUAACUUAAAGCUGGAUUAUAAAAGGAUAUCCCAGUAUUUAACCCUUUUUUUACAGAUGUGCAUUUAGAAGUGCUUUUCUUUGUUUGGUUUUAUGAUCAUGAAAAUGCACCAACUUUUUUCGAGUUGUAAUUUGACCAAAAGCCCAGCAACUAAGAAUGCAUAUCAAGUUGACCCACAAAGCUUCUUUAGAACAAAUCAGGCUCAGCAAUAUUUGGUUUGUUCCUAAUUGUAGGAUAAGAUUAAAAGUGCUUCAUUUUUUGGGUGAAAACAAUAAAGUGCACCAACUCUUUUUUUGAAUUUUAACUUGGCCAAAAAUUUUCCAUUUCAAGUUGAUCCAUAAAGCUUGCUAAUAUUUGGUGUUUAAGUGAUGUUGGACUCAUUCACAUUAAAUCCAACAAUCCCAAUCAGUCAUUUUUCUUGUUAUAUCAUGUUCUUAGUAAUAUAAUGGUGAAGCUUAUUACUAUUCUUUGAAGGUAUUUAUCUGAAUAUGUGACAUGGUGUCCGACUAUGGCUAAUUAAUUAUUUACAAUUCACAAGCUUUCUAACAUAUAUUGCUCUGCGACAAGUAUUGAUACCUUCUGCAGAUAUAUUGUUUUUUUCCUUUUAUCUUCUUUCUGUAAAGCAUGUUUUGCAAAUUUGUUUUUGACUGCACUACCAUGUUAACUUUUGUUUGCUUUAUCUGAGUGUUCAUUGAUUAAAAAUCCUGUAGAGCUGGAGCAAUGUCCGAUAAAUGGACAAGUGAUAAUCAAUACCUGGCAUUUAGUACUACUAUUUGUUUUCUACCUAUAACAUAAUACUGUAGUGUAAAAUCUGCUGUGUAGUACUUUGUCCUUUCUCAAUCAUUAAAUGAUGCCACUUAUAAUAGUUUGCCUCAGUUGGUUCUUUGAGGAUGGGAUCUAUAUAGAUUUUUUUUUCCCCUCUUAAAUAAUUUCUCUGUUUUUUCCAUGAAGAACUUAUUUAAACUUUGCUUAGAAUGGAAUAAUAAGCCUGAUCUGUUACUUUCUUGUAAUGAAAAACAAUUAAAAUGCUAAUAUUUACUGGAUUGGCGACCUUUUUCUUGUUUUCACUGUUGGUUUAGUAUGUUGUGUAAAAUAACACUUUUGAGUGUUUUGUUAUGAUAUUUUGAAUUUCAUAUUUGGGGAGCUGAAAAUGGUCGUAGGUGAAGAACUAAGCAUAAAAUAAAUACAUAUGCAUAUCUCGCAUGGUCUAAUGUGGUAAGCACUUUGGCAGAUGACAACAGUUAUUGCUAUUGAAGAUGUUAGACGAGAAGUGAGGAUAUUGAGCUCUCUGACGGGACAUCAGAAUCUAGUGCGAUUCUAUGAUGCUUAUGAGGAUGAAGAGAAUGUUUAUGUAGUCAUGGAGUAAGUCCUCAUUGCAUUUUCUUGUUCUCUCCCUAUUGAACGAUAUUGUUGAUUUAUCUCAUGUUCAAAAUUUAAACAUAAUGAACUGGCAUCUGUGUUGUAGCACAGAGGCAGUAUCCAAAUUUGGAGUCUGCUAUAUUGAAACUUUUGGGAUGAGAAAUACUAACUGAAAAAUGGAAAAAAAAUUCGAAAAAGUGGUUACUUAAAACUUAUUUUGGAAUUUGUGACUCCCUUGCCUACAUGGUAGGAAUGAGAUGCGGCCAUUUCAGCCCAUUUAGGUUGUUGAACAGCCCAAGUAUGGCUUAACUUUCUACCAGCUGAAUAAAAAGCGAACCGAUAUCCAUUUCAACCUUGUUUAGGCUGUUGAAUACCCCGAGGUUCGACUUGACUGUUGAACAGCCGAGGGCGCCAUGAACACACACCUUUCCCUGUCCCGCACUUGCUUUGAAUGUACUGUUUAGGCUGUUUAUAUUACCUUUCUUUGAUCUAGCGCUUCAUAAUCUUGCAAGUAUUAUUUGUAGCUUAUAAUUGUAAUUUUGUGCUCUUCAGAUUAUGCAAGGGAGGUGAAUUAUUGGACAGGAUAUUAUCAAGGUAUCUUUAAAUUCAUGAUAUAUACAUAAGUUACAUUUCCAGUUUCUGUUCAAGUUACCUACUUGUUUGUUUAAGUUUGAGGUUUGAGGUUCGAGGGUCGAACCAUGUGAUUAGCAAUUACAUACACGAUUGGCAGGGGCGGGAAGUAUUCUGAGGAAGAUGCAAAGGUUGUUAUGGCUCAGAUUUUGAGUGUCGUAGCCUUCUGUCAUCUUCAUGGUGUUGUCCAUCGAGACCUUAAGCCAGAGGUAGUAGAAGUUUGUUUAAUCCACUUGAGAUUUUUUCCUUUUUCCAAUAUCUGAUUAAAGUUUUGGAAUGUCAUUUAUGACUCUAUUAAUAAAUAAUAAUAUGUGCUUGUAACUUUGUGUUUCAGAAUUUUCUUUUCACUUCAAAGGAUGAGACCUCUACCUUGAAAGCCAUUGAUUUUGGCUUGUCCGAUUUUGUAAAGCCAGGUCUGUUUAAUGUAAUCUUGAUUGCGACCUUGUUUUUAGUUGUUUCAAAUAUUUAUUUGGUGAGAUAUUUACACAUAUACCUCCUUAAAAUAUCAUCUCUGUACUUAUAUGUAUCCUUUCAAAAUCUAAAUUUUUAUAUAUGCCCUUUGGAAACUUAAUUUUCUUUGACAUGUAUGCUUUAACUUACAGAAAUUCCCUUCUAAGCACCUUUUUUAAAACAAAGAUAACUUCUUCCCAUGAAUCCGUGACUACGAAAUGUGCAGAUGAAAGGUUAAAUGACAUCGUGGGAAGUGCAUAUUACGUCGCUCCUGAAGUUCUCCAUAGAUCUUAUGGAACCGAGGCGGACAUGUGGAGUAUUGGAGUAAUAGCAUAUAUUUUACUUUGUGGAAGUCGUCCUUUCUGGGCCCGCACGGAGUCGGGCAUAUUUCGAGCAGUCCUAAAGGCGGAACCGAGCUUCGAAGAAGCUCCGUGGCCUUCUCUCUCCGCCGAGGCUAAAGACUUUGUCAAGAGGCUUCUUAAUAAGGAUUACCGCAAGAGAAUGACUGCUUCGCAGGCUCUAAGUAUGUUCCUUGUUAUAUUGCUGUUGUUCAAUUCUUGUGUAGUUAAAAUUUGCUUUUCGUUAAAGCGUAAAUUCCAUUUUCUAAAUUUAGGUCAUCCUUGGAUUCGGAAUUCGCGAGAAGUGAAGAUUCCUUUGGACAUCAUAGUCUAUAGGAUGAUGAGAGCUUAUAUAUGUUCAUCUUCUCUAAGGAAAGCAGCUUUGCGGGUACAAUGAUUUUCCUUCUUCCUAUAAAUAUCUAAGUUAUUUAUCCCCCUGUAGCCCUGCUGGAUAAUUUAGUCCUCUUAUUUGUUCGUACUUACCAUAUUGUAUGUAAUGCAAUGAUUCUGUGCACUUUGUAGUAAGCUUGAUUCUCUUUUUAUCUUUUUUGUGAAUGUUAAGAUGCAGAAAAUGAUUCUCUUUUUAUCUUUUUUGUGAAUGUUAAGACGCAGAAAACUCGGCAUACAACAAAUCAACUGGAAUUUGGAUUGAUAGUUUUCAUUUUGCAGGCCCUUGCCAAAACUUUAACAGUGUCUCAGCUGUCAUAUUUGCGAGAUCAAUUUGGAUUACUGGGGCCGAACAAGAGUGGCUUUAUCUCUAUACAGAAUUUGAAGACGGUUAGUAAUUUCCUGCCAUCAUAUAUGCAUGUGUGCGAGAAAUGUAUAUUUAUUUGUGUGUUCACCUGAGUCAACCUCCGACAGGCUUUCUUGAAAAGCUCGACCGAGACGAUGAAGGAUUCAGGGGUUCUUGAUUUUGUUAACAUGGUAUGUCUCCGCAUCCUAGUACACAAUUGUUACUUCUUAAUCUGAUUGCUCUGAAACAAACUUUCCAAGAAGAUAAUUCGCUCCGAUGACGGUUUUGUAGGUGAGUUCUCUCCACUACAGAAGGUUAGAUUUCGAAGAAUUUGUCGCCUCGGCAAUUAGUGUUUAUCAGAUGGAAGCACUGGAAACGUGGGAGCAGCACGCCCAUCGUGCAUACGAAUUCUUCGACAGGGACGGCAAUCGGCCAAUUAUGAUCGAAGAACUCGCAUCGGUACGAUUCUCAUAAUUAAGUCAUUUUUCUAAGUCAUUUCUAUUUUCACAGUUGAACCCAUUGAUUACUUUAUGGGCUACGAAGAAAAUUAAUAAAAUUUCUAUGUUUUUUUUUUCCCCUUUCUUAGGAACUUGGUCUUAGCCCUUCAGUCCCUGUUCAUGUUGUUCUGAAAGACUGGAUAAAACAUUCCGACGGGAAACUUAGUCUCCUCGGAUUCAUUAAACUUCUACAUGGGGUUUCUUCGCGGUCGAUUCCCAAAGCCUAGCCAAUGAAAGCCUAAUCCUGUGAAUCCCGAAAUUAGCGCAGAUGAUAAGGUGGUGCAGAAACAAGAUCAUCAGCUUUUAUCACAAGACAAACAAGGUCAAUUUUCUGUUUCUUUUUUUUUGUCAGAUUUGUCACUUCUUUUCCCUAUCGAAUGGAUUGAUCACAGAGCGAAGUCGCUCAGAUGAAUGUAUAGAUUCAGGAUAGUAACUAGAAAAGUUAAAAAGUAAAUCCAUGCUAGGUUUAGUUGGUUCUCCUCCCUGUAGACUCUCAAAUCUCAUUACUCAAUUCUCAAUUAUGAGUAGGGAACUUAAAUUUUGGGGGUGAAAUAGUGUCUAGGGCCUUUUUUCUCAUCCUAUGAGGUAUCAAUGUAUGUAACGAUGAUUCUGCCCAGUAGCAUUAAUAACUUGUUGGGUCCAACCACUGGCCUAAGAUGCUUAAGGAAGAGUCCGUACUCCGUUAGUAGUAAUUCCUUUUCCAUCCGAUACAGGAUUAUUGAUGUGUCACCACCCAAGAGAAGCCUAAAAUGUUGUUAACACCAAAACAAACCACAAAAGCUUCAUCUAAAUGAAAACGUUGUCCAUUUUACUAUGAAGUUUAAACAAGUAGACACUAUUGAAGAUAAUGAAAACAUCGAAACAUCGUCCAGGGACACUAUUCAGCAUGCAUCAUGUGAUUGGUCACAUGCAUUGUACCUUCAAGUAUCAUGCUUAGUUAUUUUUGUUUCCUCUUUCAGUUUCUUUCUUCCGAGGGUCAGUUGGUUGAACGUAAUUGUAAAUGCAAUGUAGUUAGAGAUGCAUAUAGUUGAAAACACUGCAUGUACCCUUUUUGGUUGAAUAGAGUGAAUAUUUGGUUUCAUGUGGUUGAAUUUUGUAUUUACAAUUUUUUUUGCUUUUUAUAUGGAAUGGUGAGGUUGCUUUUAAUAUAUAAGGAAAAAUGUCUUCUCUUUAAAAGAUGAUUUAAGGUUGUAAGCUUAUUUUUUAUUUAAAAUUAUUCUCUUUAUUUGUUACAAUUGGAACUGUACCCAAUUUGGACGUAGUCUUAAUUUCUACUGUUGAGCCUCCUUAUGCUUUUCCAACUGCAGUGUUGGAUUUAAAUGGAUCAAAUUAAACACCAUAUCGGAAUUUGUAUGCAGUUAUAAUUACGGUACAGUUGCAACUACAUGUCCUAAGUAAAUUUCUGGUUACUGGGGAUCAUCAAAAAAAAAAAUUCCCUAAAUUAUUCUGUUCUCAGAUGCAGUAAGUGCUUUUUUCUUAAAACAUAUUUCUAUAUACAAAAUUAUACUUGGCCUGGUGACAACAGUAUUUUCUCUUAAGAUAAACCUUUUUGAAUUGGCCUUGUUUAGAUUCUGCAAUAGGAUAAGCUUGGUUCAGAAUAGUAUUAAAGUUGGAAAAUUAACUAGUUUUGAAUCCCUUUUCCCCUCUCUCUCUCUCUCUCUCUCUCUUGGAGAAAAUUGCCUCUGUAUCCUUGUACAAGUCCUAAAUUUUGUAUUUACCCUUUGUUUCAAAUAUAUUCCAGAAAAGUUUUUUUAUGUAUGUACCCCUGUUUUGAGGGUUUACUCAAAACAAUUAGGUGAGUUUAGAAGGAUAGGUUGAGAAUAGUAAAUUUGUACGGGAGAAGUCGGGAACUUUUUAAGAGUAUAUAAGUAAGGAACUAGUUUUGAAUCUUUGGCGAUAACUUGGGUAGUAUAUGAAAAUAUUUUUCUGUAAUUGCAAGUUGAGAGAUACUGCUUUCCAGCUAUUGUUAUGUAAUUAAAUCUUACAUGCACAGUAAUCUCUAUUCCAAAAAAAGUAAUAUAUAUGUUGAUCAUAUUAUUUGAUUAUUGAUACUGUUUUAUUUGUCGAUCAAUUGUGUGGAGAACAUCACCGAUCAUACCUAGCACAGCUUGUUAAGAAUUUGAUAUUUGAUAAUCAAAAUUUCAAGUUUGAAAUCAAGUUGCUUCACAUUUAUAGCUGAGUUCAAAAAAACUAAAUUCAAAGCGGGUAGCAUGCAGUGUCUUUCUCUCUCAAAAAAGAAAAAAAUAUGGAGAACAUCACCCAAAAAAAAAAACAAAUAACCACAAAAAUGUAUUAAAUUUGAAAAUAAAAUAAUAAAAAAAACCUGUUCUGAUGUUCUUCUAUUUGCUGAUAAAUAAAAUUGAUUAUUAAUAGAAAUAAAAUUUUAAGAAAAGGAAUUUUAAAAACUGGAGAUGCGGGGUAUCGAUCCCCGUACCUCUCGCAUGCUAAGCGAGCGCUCUACCAUCUGAGCUACAUCCCCUGCUGGAAAUUUCGUGCAGUAUAAUAUUUAUAUUAUUAAAAUGUAAGAAGUACGCAAUAAUUAUUAUUAAAUAAAUUAAAUAUAAUAUUAUUUUAUAUAUAAAUUGAGAGGUUCUCGAAAUCGAGAGAUCACGCGAGCGGAGGCUACCCCUCGUCCUCCUCCUCCUCUGCUUCACUCUCUCUCUCUCUCUCUCUCUCUCUCUCUCUCUCUCUCUCUCUCUCUCUCUCAUGGCGAUCCCUCGCAUGAAGAAGAGGCCUCGCCCUCUCCUCCUCCUCGCCCUCACCCUCGCCCUCGCCGCUGUGUCCCUCGUCCUCUUCGGGAUCCUCUUCUUCUCCGCCGCAUCCUCGCUCCCCACCCUCGGAUCCCUCCUCUUCUCCUCCCCCGCCCACUGGUCCGCGAGCGGCGGGGGCGGCGGCGGCGGCGGAGGAGGAUUGUACGGCCUCGAGCGGCGGUACCUGUACUGGGGCCACAGGAUCGAUUGCCCCGGCAAGCAUUGCGAGUCGUGCGCGGGGCUAGGGCAUCAGGAGUCGAGCCUCCGAUGCGCCCUCGAGGAGGCCCUCUUCCUUCAGAGGUCGGAUCUCUUCGAUAUCUUUAAUUCGUUUCUUCUUGUGAUUAAUGGUUUAGUAGUAGCUUUACAUUUACUUCGCUGUGUUCUACUGUAAUUAAAUAUCAUCAUUGGGUUUGGUUUGAGAUCUAGUUUUUCUCUAGGUUUAAUUUUUGUAGUUGGAAAUGUAUGGAGACCUUCUCAACUAUAGAUCAUUUUGAAAUAGGCCCCUCGAAGAUCCCAUCAAAUUUUAGUUAUUUUGAUUGGGGUGAUUCUCCUGAGUUUAAUUGGGGAUUUGUCGAAAUUAAUUGCUCUGUUGAAAAAAAAAAGCUUUUAAAACAGUCAAAUUUAAUUUAAUCACCCUUAAAUUUAAUAAAAAUCAAAUAUUGGUUGACGAAAAUAAUGCAGAUCAAAAUAUCAAAGUUAAGAGCAUCUCAAUUGAAAAAAAAAAAAGAAGAAAGAAAAUUGUUUAGUGGUCUAUUCCAACACUGCUUAUAGUUGAUGGGGUCCCUGUUAGUUGUCUUUGUAAGAAAUAUAGAACUUUUGGUCCAACAUGAUAUUUAUUGCUCCUUCCUUGAAUUUAGGUAAAAGCUUAUGGAAACCCCCUCAACUAUAGGCCAUUAUGAAAUGGUCCCCUCAACUUUAAUUUUUUGAUUGAGUAUGCUUGAACUUUUGAUUUGAUUCAAUUGUAUCAAAUAGAUUGGAAAUUUUAUCAGAUCCAUAGGUAUUUUUUCCGAAUUAAUGGCUUUUAGCAUAUAUAACUAGACCAACUAAAGAUUAAUAAUUAACAAAGUUAUUUAAGGGGUCUGUUUUAAAAUAACCUAUACUUGAGGGGGGUGUCCAUACAUUUUACCGAGAAUUUGUUACCUCUUGCUAGUAGUUAUUGUACUUUGGCCUGAUCGUAACCAAGCUUUGCUACGCUUUAACUAUCUCAAGUUUCCUUACAAGAACUAAUUGUGCACACAAUUCUAGUAUGAUCAGGAACUGAAUCUCGGUAAAGUUCUAAGAUUUGUUGUUUCUUUUCUAUGCAGAGUGUUCGUGAUGCCUUCUAGAAUGUGUAUUAGCUCGAUUCAUAACAAGAAGGGAAUCUUGCAUUCCCCUAGUGAUGCAAGUUCAGAGGAAAGGUAAGCUUAUCAAGUACCAGUCGCUAGCUGUUUUAAUUUUUAGUUGUCUGACAGUAUUUAGAGAUAAUAUAUCUGAGAAUUGACAAUUUUAUCAGUAGAUGUCUUACAGCAGCCUCUUGUUAUUUGGUGUGUUUUGAUCACUAAAUCUUUAUGUAUGAUGCAUAAUGUCAUAAUUUUAUUUCUAUCAUUCUUGUGCACUGUUAUUAGCUCAGUUUCUUGUGGACUGUUCAGGUUUUUCUAAUGUAUUGUGCAUUGUUUGAACCAAAUAUAUCAAGUAUGAUUAGUUGUUUCUCAUUUAUACUUCUGCUUUACAUUUGCUUGACCUGGAAAAUAUUUUUGACGUUAAUCAUUUUAAGAAUCUAAUUCUAGCUUAGAGGUAGUUUAUUGUUGUGAAUGGUAGUCAUAUCUUUUACUCUUUAUUCUUUGAUCUGUUUAUGUUGCAACUGUACCCUAAUUAUAGUAGCCAGAAGAGAUGUCAAAGCUAGAUGUUGGCAAUAUGUUUUCAAUUUGCAUUGUAGCAUUUUGACUUCUGUUAAGUGUUAAAAUUUAUGAUUCAAAUUUAAAUGCUUUACAGAUGGGAAGCUAGUUCUUGUGCGAUGGAUUCUUUGUGCGAUGGAUUAUUUGGUGUGUUUUGAUCACUAAAUCUUUAUGUAUGAUGCAUAAUGUCAUAAUUUUAUUUCUAUCAUUCUUGUGCACUGUUAUUAGCUCAGUUUCUUGUGGACUGUUCAGGUUUUUCUAAUGUAUUGUGCAUUGUUUGAACCAAAUAUAUCAAGUAUGAUUAGUUGUUUCUCAUUUAUACUUCUGCUUUACAUUUGCUUGACCUGGAAAAUAUUUUUGACGUUAAUCAUUUUAAGAAUCUAAUUCUAGCUUAGAGGUAGUUUAUUGUUGUGAAUGGUAGUCAUAUCUUUUACUCUUUAUUCUUUGAUCUGUUUAUGUUGCAACUGUACCCUAAUUAUAGUAGCCAGAAGAGAUGUCAAAGCUAGAUGUUGGCAAUAUGUUUUCAAUUUGCAUUGUAGCAUUUUGACUUCUGUUAAGUGUUAAAAUUUAUGAUUCAAAUUUAAAUGCUUUACAGAUGGGAAGCUAGUUCUUGUGCGAUGGAUUCUUUGUACGAUCUAAACCUCAUUUCAAAAGUAGUUCCAGUGAUUUUGGACAACUCCAAUCUGUGGCACCAAAUACUGUCAACAAGUAUGAAACUAGGAAAGAGGGGGGUGGCUCACGUGGAAGGAGUCAACAGAUCUGAUCUCAAAGAAAAUAGCAUGUACUCAAAUGUGCUUCUAAUAAAUCGCACUGCAAGUCCUCUGGCAUGGUAAAAUUUGUUAUUAUUAUUUCAUUAAGUAACCUUUUAUUCCUUCUUCUUGUCAGAUUUAAUAUCUGGGAUGCGUUUCUUUUACUCCUUUAAAUAUCAAAAUCGAUGAAAGAUGCACAAUUUUGCUAGGUGAAUGUUUGAAACAUCAAGCGCUAGUCUUGAUCAUGAUAACCAUCCAGGUUUAUGGAGUGCAAGGAUAGAACCAAUCACAGCUCUAUUUUGCUGUCGCACUCCCUUUUGCCAACCAUGGCAGCUGAAAGAUUGCAAAAUGUGGCAGAUAAAGUAUGUCUUCUUCAGCUUUUUCUUCUUCUUUUUCCCCUUUAAUUUCGUGCUAGGUGAGAGUGUGACUUUCUUUCUUGUCCUGGAAUAUAUGCAGCUUAUCCUUCCCGCUGUUGUCAAUUGUUACUUGUUUCUGAUUUGGAACUUUCGAUAACCCAGCUCUUCCUAUAUUCAUGAUAGACAGGAUGUACACUCAUGUCAUGAUAAACAAGAUAUACUCCCUUAGGACUACUUCUGUAAUCCGCAUCUUUCAAAUGUCAAACAACCUCUUUACAUUUUUAAGCCCUAUCAUCCAACUAGAGUUGUGUUUCAAUUGCUUUCUUGAGUAGUCAGUGCUGGGUGAUCUUGGUCGAUUUUAAUAGAUGAUUAUUUUCAGGCUAGGUCUCUCUUUCCAUGCACCUUUCCGUGAGUAGGGAUUUUAUUUGUUUCCCAUCGAAUUGGCACACAAAAAAUCAGCUAAAUAAUUUAACUUGUUAUCAGCAUUAAGCUGUUCCUGAUCUCAUCUAUUUGAGGAAAAGAUGUUUGUAUUAGCACUUGAGCCACAUCCGUAUAAUCCGAAUAAUUAAUUAGAGUGACUUGCUCAUAGUAUAAGACCUGUAACUUACCUGUUAGUUUGUUCAACAUAGACAUGUAGUAUUGGUAAUAACAUGCAACACAGUUACUCUUUAGGCACUUGAUUUGGCAUAUACGCCUAGUUUUUAAACAAAACCCAUGUUGAUAGCAAAGCCAACUUGUGGGCAUUGAUUAAGCUACUCCUACACUGCCUACGAACUGACUGAAUUAGACUUGUCUUAAAGUUAUGCGAAAUAGUUAAGAGGUUCGAGUGACCAUAACAUGCUGAGUGUUAUAGUUUAUAUUAUUUGCAUAUCUCUGUGUACAUGGUCCUCUUAUUAAAGCAAAAUGCUCUUUCUGUGUGCGGCCUUCAUUUAGCUUACAAAAAAGUAUAUUCGAUGCAGAUUAAAAAAUCACUUGGUGAUUAUGAUGCUAUUCAUGUGCGGCGAGGGGAUAGGUUGAAAACCAGGAAAGAUAGAUUUGGAGUUGACAGGAGCCGUCAUCCGCAUCUCGACAGAGACACCCGCCCUGAAUUUAUACACCGGAGGAUCGCAAAAUGGAUUCCGCCUGGACGUAGUCUAUUCAUUGCUUCAGAUGAGAGGACUCCCGGCUUCUUUUCGCCUCUAUCCGCCUGGUAUCCCCUAAUCCUUUUUAAUAAUAAUCUGAUCAGUUUAUUUUGGAAUUUACUUCUCAGACCCAUACAAGUCCAAGAUACAUGCGUGUAAGUCCCUUGUCUCUUUUGAUUUUAUGGACCAUUGAUCUUAAGGACUACUAAAUUAUGAUAAGCACUUUAUGUCUAUAAAGAGUUGGGCUUUUUUUUUUUUUAAUGCAUGUAUCCUAUUUUUACUUGUUUUUCUGUUUUAUUUUGUGCCUCAUUACCUCUUAUCGCUUAACCUAAAUAUUAUUUAUAUUUCUCAGCCAUGCAAUUCUUGUCCAACAUAUAUUCAUCUAUAAUGUUACUAUUUCAGCUAAGAAACUAAAUAUUCUUGUGAUUCCACUUGGUCAAUGAAAAUGCCUGGAUAUUGCUUUCAUGUGAUUAAUCAAAAAAUUACAAUAUUUUGUCACCUGCAAAAUUGAGAAAAAGUUUUACAUUCUUGAAACAAGUUUACCUACUAUUUGGACACAUUUAUUGUUCUUCAGGUACAAAUUAGCAUACUCAUCAAACUUCAGUAGCAUAUUGGACCCGGUAAUCGAAAACAACUAUCAACUUUUCAUGGUCGAAAGGUUAAUUAUGGGAGGCGCGAAAACUUUUGUGAAGACAUUUAAGGAAGACGAGAAUGACCUUUUCCUCACAGACGAUCCGAAGAAGAAUCCGAAGAAUUGGCAAAUGCCUGUUUAUACUGACGAAGAAGACGGAAGCUGAAAAAUGGAGAAAAUGCACAAAAGUGCGCACAGCUUGCCUACAUCUUAGUGAGCUUACAAAAUUCAAAUCAGUGAAUUCGACACCUUACUGAAAUAUCGUUUUUAAAUUGGAGGUGUUACUCAUUCUUUUUUUCCUGUUUUUUUGGGGGGGCGGCGAAGAAAGAAAAAAGAAAACAAAGAUUGGAACAGUUGUAUAUUCUGCAAUGCAUAUUUUUUGUGUUACAUGACAUGGAAGAGAUUGUAAACUGUGAUUAUCGUAUUCUUGAGUAAUAGUAGUCAAAAGACAAUUUUAAGACUCAAAUUUGAAUUCGAUUUUUCUUCAUAUACAAAUUUGAAUUCGGAUUCAGAUAUACAUGCAUUCAAGUAUAGACUCAAAGCUAGGCCUGUGAUCUUGAAACAUAAUAAAAAUUUAUAUCCAAAUAUUUAUAUUAAAUAAAGUAUAAUCUUUUCAAAUAUCCAUAUCACGAUCAGUCGCUGCCGUUCCUCCUGCUACUAAGGCCCAAUUUAUAAUUUACGAAAUAAUACUAUCAAAAUUUUAUUUAGUCAAAUAAUUCUAUUUCGUAAAGAAUUAAUUAGUCAAAUAAAAUUUUAUACAUUUUUUUUAUUCUAAUUUUUAUAGAGAUAUUAAGUAAAAAAAAAAACCUUUAAAUAUCGUCCCCGUGGUUUCACACUUUUUUAUUUUAGUAUCCUAUAAUUUAAAGUGUAUCAAUUUAGUAAACCGUGAUUUUAAUUUUCUCUUUUUAUUAUUUUUUGCACUAAUUUUUUUCGUUAAAUCGGUGUUAAAUCGGUGAUAUAGUUAAAACUAAAAAAUACUAAAAUGAGAAUAUUCGAUAAAUUUAGAUAGAAUAUCUGAAGUAUUUUUAUAUAUCAUUUAACGAAAUAUUAAUGAAGAAGCUGACGAAAAAAAAAAAAAAAAAGUACUAAAUUGUUAUUACACUUUAAACUAUACGUACUAAAAUAAAAAAUUACAAAAUAAUAGGAUGAUAUUUAAAAUUUACCCAAAAAAAACAAGGAAGAAAAAUCCUUUGGCCCGAAGGCAUUCCCCCGUCGCUUUCAGCCAGUGGCAUCUGCGUCGCGCAGGGCCGCUAAAUCGGUCGGCUGUCUUUACACGGGCACGGAUCCACUGGCGCCACGCGGCCCAAUGGGAAAUCAGAUUUAGAUGGAAUUUCUUCUCAGCCACACACACCGACACAUGAUACAUCACACAUACAUCCUCCCUCACCCACAAAACCAACCAUCUAUACAACUUCUCGGAGAAGCUCCUCCCCCCUCUUUCCCAAUUUCCUCCCCCCUUAUCCACAAGCGCUUCUCCUCAGUGUUUUUUUUUUUCUCCUUUUUUUUUUUCAAAAAAGAGAUCUUUCUUUUUGUUUAUUGAUCCCUCCAUCUCUUCUUCCACCACCAAAUUACAGUAAGAAUCCUUAAAUUCUUCUUCUUCUUCUUCUUCUUCUUCUUUUGAACUUUUUCUUCUUUUUUAGUUGUUUAAGGGUGCUUGCUUUUGAGGUUUAUUUGAUUUUUACCUGCUUUUCUUGGGUCGGUUUGGGAUUUUGGAUCUUGGAUUUUGGAUUAUGGAUGAUCGUGCUUUGUAAUUUUAGUUCUUCUUUGUGGGUUUUACUUUUCUUUUUCUCAUGUAAGUUAUAAGUGGAUCUGUGCCCUUUUUUCUUCACUUGAUUUCUUUUUUCCUUCUUAUUCGAGUCUUUUUCUGAAAAGAUUAAAUUACUACUAGUAUGAAUCUAUGCUUUCUAGCUUAGUUUUACUUUUGGAUCUUACUUUUUUUUAAAAAAAAAAGAAAUUUAACUUGAUUUUUCCUGAUAUGAUGAUCGAUGUUUAGAAUUUUGCUUAAAAAAAGGCCAUAUAUAUAUAAAUAUAAAUGAGAAAAACCAAUUGUUGUGGAUGCGAAAUUACCAUGUUUUUAUAGUUUUAUUAGCUUUGUAUUCCCCAUUUUUGCUUACUCUGCUAGAAAAAUGAAAGUGAAAAUUAUCAACUAACAGGUCUUGAUCAUGUGGAAUUUCUUCAGAUCCACAUGAAAAAAGAGAAAUUGCAAAAUUUUACUACCAUCGCGAGUGUUUCGAUUGCUUAUGUUGAGCAGAUUCGAUAAUCUGACAUGUUCUUAUUUACAGAUAAGCAGCAUGGAUUGGUAUUUCCUCGAAGAAAGCGACGAUUUUCUUGUCCCGAGUGAUCAAGAACCCUUUGGAGAUGUUCCUGCGUUUUCAGAUGACUGGCGUUCUUGGGCCGUCGCUCCGCCAAAAGUUUCUCAGCCGUGCGGGGAUGAUGCUCUUCUGCAGCACGGUCGAGGUUUAUAUGCUGACGAAAUGAAGCAGAGUGCAUUCAAAGAGGGAGAAAGAGGAUUCGGUGAUUCGACCGCACGGGGAGAGUCUACGCCGCUCGAUUGCUGUCCAAGAAGCUCGGAAGAAUCGUUCGAAUGUCAGACCAAGUGCGAGAUGCCGGACAACUUGGAGGAAAUGGAUAACAUUUUCUUGUGCAAGCAUAACUUCCGGGAUCCUUGGUAAAAUAUACAUAUAUAUAUAGUUUUAGCUCCUAUUGGAAAUAAAGUAGUUUGUUUUACAUAAAAAGUAGGGCUUAAAUUACAUAUCUGUAUGUUAUGUGUAAAUUAAAAUGUAGUGGAUCUUAAAUUAAGGUAUAAACAGUUAAAUAUGAUCAAGAACAUCUAAGAUGCAUGCUGAUAAAGUUCCACAAAUUUUGAAAAUCGAUUUCUUACACAUCGAGUGGUGUUAAGAUCAAUGACCCGGAAUUUACAAAAAAAGGGCUUUUUUUUAUAUAGGUCUUCAAAAAUUAUGAUUUUUUGUAAGUAGGUCUAUUUUAUGUUGUAAAUCACUUUCAAGCGGUUUAGAUCUUCAUUUUGAAACUUUUGUGAUUGGAUUUUAGCUUGUGUUAGUAGUGUGUAACUUAAAAGUGUGUAAUUGGGUCUCUACUCUAGAUAUAUUUAUCUUGCAACCUCAAAUUUUUAAAUAGGCCCUUUAGAAACUUAUUUUCGAGUAUAUAUUAACCAAUUCGUGACGAACUGGAUGACUUUCGAGUCUCAACUUAGAUAAACAUAUUUUUAUAGCUGCAAAUAGAUGAUUUUGCCGGGAUAUAUUAAUAAAAACCCCUAAGUAGUUUGUACUUCUUUGGAUUUUGAUGUCAUGGAUGCUUAUGCAGGAAUUCAUUUCUGGAAGUAGAUACACGGAACAUGGAAAACGCAUUUGAGCCAGUACAAAUGUUCCCCGACUCUAUGUACAGGUCGUUGUCGUUUGAGAAUAUAUUGGCGACUAUGCUCGCCGAUCCACAAAAUCAUUCGGCAAGUUUAAGUAGAAGUGAAAGUAUGAAUGAUCUUGAAGCCUGUGGAAUUCCUCUGUUCCCUAAUGACCUGUCGGAAGAUUUCGAGAAGACUGAUGACUGCUCAUCUUCAUGCGUGAAUAUGCCAGACGGGUCUGUAAUACUUCGUGCCGAGGUAAAAUCAUCUGUCGUUUCGUUAAUUGAUAAGGUCGUGUUGAUGCAUAUUUACCAAAAGAAUUGAUGAAAGAUUAGACAUUCUGUUCGAAUUCUCUUUAGCCAUUAAACUUGCCAUAUUUUAGGUUUUAUUUGCUCUAUGCUUCGAGUCCUUAGUUUUGAGGUUUGAAAUGUAGUAUCUUGGAUUUCGAGUUUCUGCUGAAUUGUUAAUGUACAGAAGAAAACUAAAUGCUAGUAUUCGAAUUUCGAUCACCUUUAAUCUGCUGUCUCAUAGCUGGUUUUCACACACAUUUUUGUUGAUAGUUUAUUAAUUCCUUAAUUAUUAUUUAACCUUACUUCCUUUGGAUGAGAAAUGUCCUUAUAUUCUUAUUAUUAUCAUGUUCCAGAGAGGCAUGACCUUGGGUGCUUCAUGUUUAGUGUAAUUUCACUCUCAGGAUUCGGAUCCCUACAUAUUCGUUCCGGCUGAAGUUAGACCAACAAGUGAGAGCAAAUUAGUUGCUGCUGAUGCAGAGAAGCCUAAAUGUUCGGAGGCGACAGUGCUGCGAGAGCUUGAAGAUGCAAUAUUGCUGGUAAAUUCAACAACGAAUCCUACGUCGUUUUCCCCUAAAUUCAUUUCGUGUUUCUGAAGUAUGCCAAUUGAACAGCUAAAUGAGGAGACGAGGAUUUGCUUCCGCGAUUCUUUGUACAGACUUGCUAGUAGUUCGAAAGACAAAAAACGCAAAAGAGAUGAAAGCAGAAUCACGGAGACGACUGUUGUCGCUUCGGCUCCAAAGAUGAAGGGUGUAAGUUCAAGGUAUGCCGCGAAAAUUUUCCUUGUUGCUAGUUCGGAGCUUCUGUAUCUGACAUUUUCCUAGUUGCUGGUUCAUGCUAAUAAGUAACAUAAUGUCUAAUCCUGUAUUAAUGGUAAUUCCUUCUCUUGUUUUUUGUAAUCCAUCGGAACUUUUGGCAUCGUUAUACCAUUCCGACAAAUGUAUCGACACAAUAAAGGCUUAAAUACAAAUAACCCCCCUUCAAUUUUCGCCGUGUAUAUAAAAUUGCAUCAAUUUUGAUCCUUAACUUUACAAAUGUCUGAAAUAGGCAGAAGGACAUUAUUAGUUGUGUGAAUCUGCAACUAGCUUAUCUUUACGAAAUAAAACAGGAGUUUUUCACAAACUUUGGUAAUUUAAAUCUGCAAGCCACCUACUCGCAUUUGCGCGCGUUUUCUUCUUCUUUAUCUUGCUUACUCAAGUCAUUAUUACUCAUUUCAGGGCAAAUAAAUCUGAGUGCACGGAAACGGAGACCAACAUAAUCGAUAGGACUGUCGCGAACCUCGUGUUCAAUCAGUCAUUUGCUGGCUCUUCAGACGCGAAAAAUCCUGUGCUGGCUUCGUAAGUGAAAGGAAAAUCAUUCGGCAGUUUCGGGCUCGUGCACCAAGUCAGAUCUUCCAUGACCAACUCUACUCUAUUGUAUGAGUGAUAAGUUGCACCAUGGAUCUUUUUGAGCAAGUAACAAGAAGCAAUGAGUAGGAACAAGUUAUUACUUUUUGUAACUUAUCUAAACUUUGGAUCAUUUUGAAUUGACUACGUAAACUUUCGAAAGGUUGAUUUUACUAUCCAACCUGUCAAUCUGUUUAAUUUCAGUCAGUCGACGAUGCUUCGACUUCAAAAUUUAAGUUUAUUAAAACAAGCAAUUAUCUCAAACUUUGAAAUCAAAGUAUCGUCGACUGACUUAAAGCAAACAAAUUGAAAAUUCGAAUAGUAAAAUUGAAGUUUUGAAAGGUGGGUAGUUGAGUCAAAAGGUUGUAAAUUUUUACCUUGUAUUGAUCCAUCUAGUUUGAGCAGACAUUUUUGUGCAGAUCUCGUGAUGUUAUUGUAUAUGUCAAAAGGAUGUGUAGUUGUAAAAAUAUGAGAUGCCACCAAAAUUGGAGAUUAUAAUUUUGGAUAAUGUUCUAUGAUGACCUCUCCUAAAUGCUUUGCUUAUACUCUGGACUGGAUGAUCUGUUCUUUUUGUUUUUCUUUAAUUUGUAGGCUAGAUUAUGAAGGGGUAAAUUGCACUAUUGGUUCUCAAACUACGUGGCGCAUGAUAUUUUGUUUCUCGAACUUUUAAUUUAUUACAAUUACAGCUGGCUUGAAUUUCUAAAAUGUGGUUGCGAUUAAGUCCUACAAUAUAAUUUAGUUGACUAAAUGGUAAUAUGCCGGUGAUGUAACUAUAACAUAAUAGUAUACAACACUGUCAUAUUAGCGACACAUUAUUUGUCAAUCAACUAAAUUAUAUUGUAGAAUUUAAUCACAAUAAUUUAAAAAGUUUAAACCAGUUAUAACAAUAAAUUAAAUUUUGAGGACCAAAUUAUUACCUACCUUACAAAUUGAGGACCAAAAGUGCAAUUUAGCCAUUGUAAACUUCAGUGCAAGCAGUUAAAAUAAGGGAAGAUUUUGGGUGAAGGCCCCUGAGUUAAUUAAUUAAUUAAUUUGUUAAGCCCAGUUUGAAUGUCGGAAUAAAUUAUGUGAUAAUAACUGAUUCGAUAUAUAAGAAUUUUCUAUUGAGAUUAAAAACUUGGUUUAGACAUUGUUUUAGUAACAUAAAGAAGAAAAAAAAAGAAUAAAAAAAUUCAAAUAAUUACAUUGAGAAGUAAAUAGAGAAAAUAAUAAUUAAUAAAAGGGCGAGAUUUUGGCAAGAUAAGUGUUGGGUUAGUGAUAUCAAAUUUACUUAUUAGCCUAAUUGGUUUUAUUUUGGAUUUGGUUCAACAACUCAUGUAAUGGGCUAGUUAGUAUUUGGUUUGGGCUUUAGUUGACCCAUUUGGUAUGUUAAGCCAAGUGGAGUUAAGAGAGAACUCUUUGGCUGCGUUUGGUUGGAGACUAGAUUUUGGAGAACAACUUUUGUUGUUCCCGAGAACAGUGGAUAUUCCGGUACAAGAUAGAACAAUUGUAAAUUUGUGUUUGGAUGAAUUCGAGAAUAUUCUAGAGGAUAUCCUUAAUAGCGUUCGGAUAAAAAGUCUAGAACAACGUCUAAAUAUAUUUUUAAAAAUAAAAUAAUUAAUUUAUAUUAGUAUAUUUUAUAUAAAAUUAUUUAUAAAAUUAUUUCAUAUAGUAAUUUAUAAUAUAAUAUUUUAUGUAAGAAUCUAAUUUAAAAUAAUAUAUUUUAUUUUAUUAUAUAUAAUAAUUUAUUUUAUGUAAUAAUUUAUUUUAUAUAAUUUAUUCAUAAUAUAUUAAUGAAUAAAGUAUAAUACUAACAAUAUCCCUAUAUUUUUAAUUAAUAAUUAGUAUAAAUUUCAAUACAAAUGGCGGAAUGACUGUUAUUUAUAGUACUGUAAAAUUGGUCUCAACGGUGAAACAACCAUCUAGAAACGGGCACGACGGCCUAUGACACUAUCGGUAUAUUCAGAAUAUUACGAUCUGUUAAUCUCCCCAUGCUAACAAACUCCAACUACCCACCUAAUUGGUUUUGGCCAAAUUACAAGGGGUUUGGUACAGUAACCUGGCUUUCCGCAACACUAACAAACAGUGACAUCCCUUGCAAAUCUUGAAUUUUUGAUUUGAAGAGCUUAUGCGGCUAAAACCUCUUUAAUUGCGUUUUGAAGAUGGCUCUUUCGGCGAAAGUGUUUACAUCUUGGUCCGUGGCAUGUGAAAGUCAUGGUAACUAUUCGUUAUCAUCAAGAGGACAGUGAUUAAGAGCAAGUUGAAUCUUCAUCCAAUAUGAAAAGCCAACUAGGGAACUCUUACUCCAGAAGCACAUCUAAUAAAUGCCAACUUCGCAACCAACCGCAAAAAGACCACAGACAACAUUAUUUCAAGUGCAAAAAUUCCAAGUACUUAGAUCCUGCUCAAACAAAUAUCUAGGUUUAGACUUUUGAUAAGUAACACAUUUUGACCUAAUUAUUGUACUAUAAUAAGAAUCAUCUGUCAUCUCUUUGAUAAGAAAUGCUAAAACUUGCCGAAGCAAAGGUAGGGGAGAUGAGAGGUCAUAGUAACUUCUGGAAUCAUUGCAGGCCUUCAGAAGAAACAAUUCCAGCAGGAUGCGAUACCUAGGUAUUAAUGGGCUAUACACUUAUAGAUUCCAAAAGCCUCUCGACUUUGUGCCAAAGAUUACCUAAAAGCGUGACAAAUUCAAGCGUUAAUGCAGCGUAUCAGAUCUAUUGUUCUCCAUCUCAUCUCGCCCUCAUCAAAUCAACAUAUGCCGAAUCCAUGAUCGCGCUUCUCGCGUGGUCAACUUUGAUUGUGCGACCCAUGAAUCUUCUACGCUGUUUUGGAAUGUCACGCUCAUGACCGUCUUUCCAAUACACGAGUACUCGGCCUCUCGACUGUUUCCAGUUGAACAGUGGUGAUAUCUCAUAACAUUAUAAGGCAGAGAUACUAUAUAUCGCCGAUACUGUACCCAAUACAAUGAGCUACUAAACGCUAUUCAAUGCUAGGCUGUUGUGUAUUGAGCCACUAUUAUAUAGAUCGAAUAUCAGAGACGUAAAAAAAACUCCAAAAGUGAGCCCCAUGUCAAGUAACAAUAACAAUUAGCAAAACAAAAAUUUUAGUUUAAGUAAACCUAGUUUAAGAAAUCUAUGUUCAUAUUUAUAGAUAAUAAAUGACUCUUCAAGGGAAAAGAUGUAAUCAAAUAUUGCACAACAGUCGUGGAGUCUGUUUCUGCAAUAUGCCUAUAAAUUACAGCUUACCAGCCGGAAUCAUGACAUUCUUGUGCCUCUAACCCAUGCAUCACUCUAUGGCCUAAUUGUUAGAUAGAUAGUAGAUUAUAAGGCAACCUGCAACUGAAGAAAGCAAGCAUCACCCCGAUUGCAAGCUGAAUUGCUCUCAUGUAUCUUAUUCACUAUAUUUGAUUCAUGGCAAUCGAUGUGCUUAUACAUUGCUUCAGUUUAUAUCUCAAAGGGACUUAUAUCACUGUGUAGGAUUUAUUAAAAACAUAUAAAAGUGACUGGUAUCAUAUCCUUUAUUCUGUCUAUACCNNNNNNNNNNNNNNNNNNNNNNNNNNNNNNNNNNNNNNNNNNNNNNNNNNNNNNNNNNNNNNNNNNNNNNNNNNNNNNNNNNNNNNNNNNNNNNNNNNNNNNNNNNNNNNNNNNNNNNNNNNNNNNNNNNNNNNNNNNNNNNNNNNNNNNNNNNNNNNNNNNNNNNNNNNNNNNNNNNNNNNNNNNNNNNNNNNNNNNNNNNNNNNNNNNNNNNNNNNNNNNNNNNNNNNNNNNNNNNNNNNNNNNNNNNNNNNNNNNNNNNNNNNNNNNNNNNNNNNNNNNNNNNNNNNNNNNNNNNNNNNNNNNNNNNNNNNNNNNAUACUUUGAUCAAUAGAGAACAUUGCAUAAAGUAUGACAGCAUCAUAGCUCAGCAUGUAUGAAUCGUCAUUUGAAUUGAACUGGCGGCAACAUUUGGCUAAUACCAUGCUUCCAAGCCACAAAACAUCUGAUUCCACCAUGCAUCAUAGGUAAUGGGAUGAUUUCAUCGGAAUCCAUAUUGGGACUGAAAAACACCAAUAACCGAGUAAAGGCAACAAAUUAAACCCAAAAAGGAACUAAAAAGCUCACCUCCAGGCUCCAAGUAUGCGGAUAAUAGAACGUUUUUAUAUCAUAGUCAAGUAGGGACUAGAGAUCCUCAAGGCCCAACUAUUAUCGAGAAGAUUUUGCAUCUCACAACAGAGACAUAUAUAGAACAUCAAAAAGGCCACUUACUUGUCUUAGGUGGAAGUAGAUAAAGAGUAGUAAUGGAGGGACUUGACAAGUCAAGCAAGCUUCAGAGAUGUAUUAACUUGCAGCCGAAAAAAUUGACUCAAUUAAUAACAAAUCUGCACAGGAAAUCGAGCAGUAUCCAUCCAUUCUUGAGAGGGAGAUGCAGAUGCACAUUAAACAACUCCAAUUAAUGUUGGUUUUGAAGAAGAGAAGAAGAUGAGGCCUCUCGAGGCGAGUCGACAACUCGAAGCAACACAAUCCAAGAAGGAUCUAACUUUCUACUUUGCAUCCGAGGGAAAUCACCUGAAUUUAUUGAAGAUCUGCACAAGGAACUGAAGAUCGGCUACCAAUUGAUGAGGUUGGGAGGUAGAUUGAAAUCGCUACCAAUUGAUGAGGUUGGGAGGCAGAUUGAAAUCAUUCCCACAUAGUUAAUGCUGGUUUUAAGCUCCAGAGGAAGGAUUAGGUUUAAUAUGGAGUUAAUAUGAAAGAGAAAAAACCGGCGGCGUUGAAAAGUGAAGAGAGCUGAGAAGAAGAGGAGUAGGUGAGAGGAUGGAGUUAAGAGGGAUUUGAGGAGGAAGAAGAAGGCUUCAGCAGGGGAAAGAGACGACAAUGGCAUAGAAUGGGUAGGUGAGUUGGUGGAGAGGAGAGUAAAGUUGCUCGGGUUUCGAGAAAAUUUAUUUUUUACUACAUCUACCCCUGCAAUUCUCGAGAUUUAAUCCUUAUUCGAGGGGUGAGGAUGAAUAAAAUUAACGGGUUAUUCCAUGAUAUUCUGGAAUAACCCGUUUUGACCGGGUUAAAAUAUUUAGAUGGAAUUCAAUUUUGUUUGGCAAAAUAAUUAGGAUAAAUCAGUUUAUUCCCCUGUUAUUCUGUUACCAAACGCAGCCUUAUUAUUGCUUCUUAUAUUACUAUUUUUUAAUUAUUUAUUCAUCCUAUCGUGUGAAUUACUGUACUAGAUAAAUAUUAAAUCGUAAACUUUUAAAUCCGAUAUAUGUCACCGUUUGGAUGGGGGAUAAGGGGAGGGACAACCCUUAUCCCCCUUUAUACCCAAAUAUAAUUUUUUUACUCGAGAAUAGUAAUUCUCGGGUAUCUGAAAUAAGCUGGUAUAACUAUUCCUACCAAUAUCUUUAUUUUUUAUAUAUACAUACCCACUAUUUUUUUUAUUUUAUAUUAUUUAUUUAAAUAUUAUUUUUUUUAUUUUUAAAAAUAGCUCAAUUUUUAUCCAAAAAUUAUUUUUUUUAUCUCCAUUCUUAUACCUAUCUCCGAAAAUAUAUAGUGCCAACGCGUCACUCACAUUCUUUGAAUGUGGAUAUAAAAGUGGGAAAACAAAAAAGCGUUAGAAUGGCAAAUUCCCGUAAUUUCAACCAAUCAGCGGGGUCAAAUGUCCCGCACGCAGCUCGAAAAGUAGAGGGCCGCGGUUCCCGUGCCUUUAUUCCCCGGAAGACGAGCAGAGACCCCUCUCUCUUUGUCCCUCUUGUCCUUUCCAUCGCUCCUUUCCUCUUCCUUUCCCACCACCACCACCACCACCGCCACUCCCCCCUCCCCACUCCCACACUACUAACAAAAAAAAAAAAAAAACAAACAAACACCUCUCUCUCUCUCUCUGCUACUAUACCACGCUUGCACUUGUGUACUUUUUAUCUCACUAGAAGAAGGAAGGAGAAAGGUGGGAGAUCGAGAUGGUGGAGGGGAAAGGGUCGACGCUGGUCCACGUCCUCGUCAUCGCCCUCAGCCUCACCGCCUUCGGCUUCGCCAUCGCCGCCGAGCGCCGCCGCAGCACGGUCAGUCUCAUUUCUCUCCCUCGCCCGAAAAAUCGAUCCAUCGAUCCGGUAGAAAACGGACAGUUCACCAAUAAUAAUCCUACAGUUAAGAUCAGGUGAAUCACAUCAAAUCAACCCCCACACUUUUGCGCAUUGCAUCCAUGUGUUUUCGUAUUUUCUCAUUUUAGUAUCCAUAGUUUUAUUUUUCUCUUUUUUCACCCUCCUGUUAACUUUUCGUUAAAUUAUUAUAUAAAAAAAGCUUCAGAUACACCAUUUAUAGUUUAUCGAAUAUUAUUUCCUUUAUUACUCUUUAGUUUUUACUUUGUUACUGAUUUAACAAAAAAAAAUUAAUAAAAAAAAAAAAUCCACAUGGUACGAAAGUGAUAAACUUUAAGUCACGAGGUACUAAUGUGAGAAAAUGCGAAACCAUGUGAGAAAAUGCGAAACCGAGUGGUAUUUAGGCUGCGUUUGGUUGGAGAACUAGAUUUUGGAGAACAAUUUUUGUUGUUCCCGAGAACAGGGGAUAUUCCGGUACAAGAUAGAAUAAUUGUAAAUUUGUGUUUGGAUGAAUUCGAGAAUAUUCUAGAGGAUAUCCUUAAUAGCGUUCGGAUAAAAAGUCUAGAACAACAUCUAAAUAUAUUUUUAAAAAUAAAAUAAUUAAUUUAUAUUAGUAUAUUUUAUAUAAAAUUAUUUCAUAUAGUAAUUUAUAAUAUAAUAUUUCAUGUAACAAUUUAAUUUAAAAUAUUAUAUUUACUUUAUUAUAUAUAAUAAUUUAUUUUAUGUAAUAAUUUAUUUUAUAUAAUAUAUUCAUAAUAUAUGUAAUGAAUAAAGUAUAACUUACAAUAUCCUUAUAAUUUAAUUAAUAAUAGUAUAAAUUUCAAUACAAAUUAAAAAAUAUAUAUGAUACAUGAAAAAAUACUUUUUUAUGUAUAGUACUUAAUAUAAAAUAAAAUAAUUAAAUAUUAAAAUAUAAAUAACAAAAUUUAAUAAAAUAAAUAAUAUAUCAAAUUUAAUUAAUUUUAUAUUAUAUAAUAAAAUUUAUGUGUAAAUAUAUUAUCAUUAAAAUAAUAUUUAUAUUAAUAUAUUUAUUUAUAUAUCUAUUUAUCUAAUAAAAUAAAUAGAAGAACUAAGUUGUUCUCAAUUCCCUAGGAACAAUUUUUAACGGGUUGUUCCAGAACAACGCAGAACAACCCGUUUUGACUGGAACAACCCGUUCUCCGCUGUUCCUCUACCGUUUGGUUAUAAUUUCGGGAAUAUCCCGUGCUGUCCCGAAAUAUUUCCGGUACCAAACGCAGCCAAAGGGUUAGAGGGAGUGAGUUCUCUUUUUGCUCUCUAGGUUUUCCCUUUUCUUGUAAUAGAGAAGAGAGGUGUAGAGAAAGUUGGAGAAGGAGCUCUCUUGUUCUUCUUGCUUGAUUCAAAAGCUUCCAAGGUAGAUUGGAAGAAUUCUAAGAGGUAUUCCGAAGCGGGACCCGCGGAAUCGGAAGGUGCUUCAAAGAAGGUGUAGCAAGAAGGGAUUUCUAUUGAAAGAUUGUAAGCCCAUUAAAAUAGAAUGGUAAUCUCUAACCAAAUCUUGUAAUCUCCUCAUUUGAUAGUGGAUUUGAUCUCUCCGUGCCCGUGGAUGUAGCCUGGUUUGGGUGACCACGUAAAUCUUGUGUUGUUGUUGUGGUUGUGCUUGGAUUUUUCUUUUUCAACUUCAUUUACUCCAAUCUUGCAUAUCUUAGUUGUGGAUAAUUUAGAUACAUCACAUUUGUUUACUAGUGUGAUUAGUAUCUUGAUAGUGAAGGUUCCGUCAUUAGCUCACUACAAUA